GUGGUGUGCUCAGAGCAGAGACCCUGAAGAGUGGCCUCUCUGUUUACAACACACCCAACAGAAUCCUGGGCCCAUUGUAACAAGGAGCACAACACUGUGCCCUCCUGUGAGCAAGUGCCCUACACAU
ensembl:snoRNA